rnacentral:rRNA from 1 species
UUCCAUCUGGAAGAAUCUGGAGACAGGUGCUGCAUGGCUGUCGUCAGCUCGUGUCGUGAGAUGUUGGGUUAAGUCCCGCAACGAGCGCAACCCUUGCCUUUAGUUGCCAGCAGUUCGGCUGGGCACUCUAAAGGGACUGCCGGUGUUAAACCGGAGGAAGGUGGGGAUGACGUCAAGUCCUCAUGGCCUUUAUGACCAGGGCUACACACGUACUACAAUGGCCGAUACAAAGGGCAGCGACACUGCGAGGUGAAGCCAAUCCCGUAAAAUCGGUCUCAGUCCGGAUUGGAGUCUGCAACUCGACUCCAUGAAGUUGGAAUCGCUAGUAAUCGCGCAUCAGCCAUGGCGCGGUGAAUACGUUCCCGGGCCUU